UCCCGAAUACAAGAGAGAUGAAAGCUUAGACGCGCCAAUCACAAUUGAGCUAGCCGAAUUGAAAACGUUGCCAGCUCUAUUUUCAGUACGAAGGAUUGAACGAAGGAGAAUAUCAAAAUUUUUCCGACAAUUCAGAUAAAUUGUCGAUGUGGCAACGUGCAUUCGGGAAUUCUGUCAUUUUGUUCUGGCUUUUGACCUCCUCAGUUGGCUAAAUCUUCAUAAUUCCUUGUUUUAAUUAUUUUGUAUUUUCAUUUAUAACCAUUAGAAGUGAUAUUAGAUAUGCCUAGCAAGUGUUUUUUGUGUGGUUUCACUUAUAUUGUAGGAGGUGAAAUUUGUCUUCACAGACUUCCAUCGAAUCAACUUGAACGAGAAAAAUGGUUGCAGAGAAUUUCUUGGAACCGACCGAUGUUGGAAAAAAAAAUUUUCUUUGCUCAAAUCACUUUCCUGAAAAUUGCUUCCGAUUAAUGAUACUAUGAAAGAGGCUUAUACCAGGAAGUUUGCCUUCUCCUUCUGAAAUCAAAUUGGAAAUACCUCUGACCUACUCAGAAGGGAAUGGAACUAUUGAAGCACAGGACUUUACAGAAUCUGAUUCUAAAACACAAGAGAGAUUUGAGACUUCAGCUACUUUUAACUCUCCUUCAAAAUCUGCAUCUUCUAGCUAUAGUGACACUAAGAACCUACGGCUUAUCAAAGGAGGUUUGCCUUUGGAAAUUAAAUUGGAAAUACCUCUGACUUACUCAGAAGGGAAUGGAAGUAUUGAAGAACAAGGCUCCACGGAAUCUCUAUAUGAUUCUAAAAUACAAUCUCCAU